rnacentral:rRNA from 1 species
UACAGAGGUCUCAAGCGUUGUUCGGAUUCAUUGGGCGUAAAGGGUGCGUAGGCGGUGAGGUAAGUUGGAUGUGAAAUCCCAGGGCUUAACCCUGGAACUGCAUUCAAUACUGCCUUGCUAGAGUACUGGAGAGGAGAUUGGAAUUCACGGUGUAGCAGUGAAAUGCGUAGAUAUCUGGAGGAACACCGGUGGCGAAGGCGGCAUCCUGGACCAACACUGACACUGAGG